rnacentral:tRNA from 1 species
GUCAGGAUGGCGGAGUGGUCUAAGGCAUUGCAUUCAGGUUGCAGCCUCCCUGGGAGGCAUGGCUUCGAGUCCCACUCCUGACA